AGGAAGGAAGGAAGGAAGGAAGGAAGGAAGGAAGGAAGGAAGGGAAGGAAAAAAGUAAAAUCUGAGAAAUAAAGCAAAUCCAAGCUGAGGGGAAUAUGUAGCUAUAAUAUGAUGCUUCCAGGUGUAGGAAUCUUCAGGUUUGUCUCUGCCCCAGUCUUCUGGAAAGGCAUCUGUAUUUCACCUCCUGUGAUAAAGGCCCAUGUGUCUUUCUUGCUGCCUGAGUUAACUAAGCAUAUUAACUGCACUAAAUGCUCAGCUCUCCUUAAUUUUCCUUAGGCUUGGUUGGCUUUGAUCUUUACAUUUCAAGGCCCCAAAAGACCAGAUAGAGGGAGAAAUAAUCACAUUACAUCUCCUCCUCCAGUAUGGUCGCUUCAACCCCAAAGGAUGCCUUUCAAUCAGGAAUAAGGGUUUAGGAACCAAGUGACAAAGUUACACAACUGAACUUUCCCCCCCGCCUCUUUUACUAAUACUUAAUUAUUAUUGAUUGUUUUCUUGGCUAAAACCCAUUUCAAAACCUGCACAAAUGAACUUUUUCCGUACCCAAACCUUUGAAAGGAUAUAUUUGAAGUAUUUUGACGCCUAAGAGAAUAGCUUCUAAACAAGUUAUGCAUUGAUUUCCUCUUACCCUGAAUUAUUUUCUCGCCUGAUUUUCCUGAGGUUGUUCCUGAAACAUUCUUUGUGGUUCACUGAACACAAAAAACAAACCAUGUACCAGGUUUGGUGGGAGGUGGGGGUGGUUUCUAGGGAUAUGGGAAACACGGCAUUUGUUUUCAUGGAGCAUAAGUUUCGUGGAGGAAAUAAGGCACUUUGACAAAUAGCCAUAAGGUAAACUAGAAAAUUGUCAAGUGCUGUAAUUUUAAAGCUGAUUAUUACAUACCUAAAAGCUGGUCAAAUUACAGUUUUAUUGAAUGCUAACGAAUUAUUACUCCCCUCCUGCACAGAAUUUUUCAAACUCUUUACUUUCUCUGGCUUAUAAUUACGGUAACCACAUUUUCCAUACCCCAAAUUAAGAUACACGGUCUGACAAAGGAUUCUUGUACCACUUCUAGGUGUGAGACCACCCAUAGUGAGGUUUUUUCUUUUUAAAAGCAGGUUUUUUUAGGCCAGCUCUAUAAAAAAAUAGAGGUUUGUUAAAUAGGUGUGGUUUUAGACUUUUCAUUAAAAACCUACCAUGCAAACAGUAUUUUAUUUUGCAUCUGAAUCAACAUGUUAUAUCCUAAAGCAGGAUUUUAUAGCCUAAGGGUAUGUGUUCGCCUAUUCAUAAAAACAUACUGCUGGAUAGAGUAAUAAUACCUGCCAUUAUCCAGGUGUAAUAAAAAGGUCCCAAGGGUUCUGCUCAGGGUCUUUAAUUUUCCUUUUGAAGAUAAAGCUCCUUAUUUCACUUUCAAGGUUCAAUGUUUUUGAACCUUGCAAAUGAUUACCAUUGAGGCAUGCCAGAUGUGAGUAAUUGGGAGCAGUAGUUCUUGAAAAGAGGGUGAAGGAGUGACUUUUUCUUUCUUAUGGUCUCUCCCUAUUAUCAUCUGUGGUUUCUAUACAUGUAAUUUUUCACACAGCAAGGCCAUGUGGAUGGGUAGUGGCCAGCCUGCCGUAGUCUAGACAUGGGACUUUUGAACUUUCAAAGGUAAGGUAGGCCUGCGUUGAUAAUUUAAACAUGAUGAAACCAAGGCCUGCUUGACCAAAUAUUAAAUGUCUUACCCAAAGCCACAUAGCCUGUCAGGGCAGAGCCAACUCCUAAUCCCCAGCUCUCUCUGACCAAGGUAGGUUUCUAUUCCCUGCCAUGAUGUUUUCUUCUAUUCUAAACUCACUUUGGUCCAUUCCCAACUAGUCUGAUAUGAGGGCAGCCCUAGUCCUGGAGAGGUAAUGACAGGAACGAUGGCCUUGCUGCGGCCCGGACUCCUCAGGCUCACCCUCAGUUGGCUGGAAGUUGAGUUCAAGGCAAGUCAUACAUGGUGCUUCCCACUUUCCUGGGGAUCAUUGACCUGCUGACCCAGGAGCCCUUGGGACUAGACUUGUCCCAUAAUGCUUGACUUGAAGUUGAAGUACCAAUUACUGCUUUUUUCAAUAGAUGAUUUUGAUCACUUGUUUUGUAAGAGGGCUGCAUUUAUAAGUUGAUGAUCUGAGUGCACUUUUAGAAUACAUCCUUCCAUCAAACACAUAUCAGACAAUUAAGCUAUUAAGAUAAAUGACCUUAAAAAACAACCUCAUGUCGCUAUAAUCUUCCAUUCAUUCAUUCGCCCAGUGACCAUUGAGCACCUACCAUAAGGCAGGCCUUUUUCUGGGUGCUGAGGAUACAGCUGUGAACAGAGAAAAAUUCCAGCCCUUUUGCUUCUAUGCCAUUGGAUGGUGUUAAUAAAUUAAAACCCUUAGCUUGCUAAGAAUGUGGAUUACCAUAGAAGCUGAAUGGUAAAAGAAAAGUGAUCUGACAUUUAUUGGGUAUCUGCAACUUUGCCAUGUGCUGUGUUAGGUACUUUAUCUCAUAUAAUCAUCAUAACAACCCUAUGAAAGAUGGAUCUGAUUAUCUUUAUUUUUUGCAGAUGAGGAACCAUGGUUUAGGAAUGUAAUCUAUCUUACUUAAGGUCAGGCUAUAAGGAAAUAAAUCUACAUCAGUCUUUUCACUAACAUGUUAUAUGUGGUCAUAUCAGUUUAGAACCAUGUAUGUGAUGUAUGGACACCAGACUGUUGUGGAAAAAUAAGUUGAAAAACCUUAGGGCACAUUUUUACUGAUAUUAAUAAUACAUAGUAAUGUCAUUUCAUUGGACUCGCUUGAAAUAGCUGGAAUUUAGUUAUUCAGUCCAUAUUCCCCUUUUUCCCAUUUUUAACUAUGUCUAGAUACUCAUGUCGCAACAGAAGAAAGGGUGGGGGAAAAAACUGUAACUGCAAUGUAUACAUCUAAGGAUGACCUGACCCCCUUGCUGUACAGUGGGAAAAUAAAAAAAAAAAUAAAAUAAAAAAAAAUAAGAAAAUUGACAGAACAUUGCAAACCAGAUAUAAUGGAAAAAAUAAAAAUCAUUUAACACAAAACAAAACAAAAAAAAUAAAAAAUAAAUUUCUGAAUAGCAAUAAUCACUGUAGUACAUCUCCUUUCAUAACAUGCAUCUUCCCUAGAACACCUCACCCUAGAUUAGCUGUUCAAUGACCACAAUGACAUGUGCUUCUCAGAUAACACAUGACCUUGCAUUUGGCUCAGAACUUAGUGGUUGGCUCUGCUAAAAAUAAGUCUUUAAUGGUUUAUUAAGACAUUCAUCAUGGGGUGCUGGUAUUUGGGAGUUUUCUUCUUCGUAUCAUGAAACAUGCCCAUGUAUAGCUCUAGGAUUUAUUAACCUUGUUUCUUUGAUGAAACGCCUUAAGGAUUUCAGAGAUCCUUAUUUUAUUCAGUGACCCUGUAUUUUUUUGCCCCCCAAAGCAGUUAACACAAUUAUGGGAUCUGCUAGUGCUCGGGGCCCAAACCCUUCAGUGUGUCUAUUUCUGGGGAGGAGCGAGAGGCUGGAUUAAGGCUGGGAGUUGGGGCAGCGUCAAGGGGAGGGUCUUUUGCUGACUUUGGUCUUGACCAAACAAGGGUUGAUGAAACAGCAUGUGCUAUGGCCGUGGUGUCACAGGCUGAUGUCAUCCCAAGAACCCAGCUGUGCUCAGCACCUCGCUUGAUGUGGGGGGAGGGGUGUCAGGAGACAGGUGCACUUCAGCUGCCCCUUCUCCCCAGUGUCUCUGCUCAUCUCUCUCAUCUCUCUAGUUUGGGGUCUUUGCAAACGAGUUGUGUUUAUGUUCAUCUUAUCACCCCCCACUGCUUCCUGUCACUCUAGGGUACUCCCCAGGCUCGUCGUCUUUCUGGUUUAACAAGUACGUCACUGCCUGACCCCUUCACAGCUCCUCAAGCUUUCAUGAGCUGCAUGGGCUGAUCCUGAUCCUGUAACACAACAAGCUUGCCUCUCAGGGCCUUUUGCCAUCUGUCACCUCUGCCUGGAUUGUAGUCCUUCUCAUUGUCUUGGGACUGCUCCUUGUGGCCUUUCAAAUCCCUGUUUAAAUCUCACUUCCUCUGAGAAGCGCCCCCUGACCACUGGGUCCUUCUGUCUCCUCUCACCCUCCUUUCAUCCGUGGAUGUUACAGUCAUUGCUUGGCAUGUUUAUUCUUUCAGCUCCAUGAAAACAGGGACCACGCCUACCUUAUUCUUUAUAACACCCUCUGCACUCAGGGCAUCAGCACGUCGUGGUUGAUUGAACAGCUGUCAAAGGAAGGAAGGGGGCACUCAAACUGUAGGUGGUUUCCAUAUCACAAGCUAUAUUUUAGGGUAUUUUUUAAAUAAUGCAAAAGGAAUAAAAACCAGGCCCUUUAAGAAAUAUUUAAUAUUUCACAUGUACUUCAACGUUUAGCGACUUCUGAUUGGUCAGAGAUUAAUCAGUCACAUACAGCACUCUGUCCUCAGGGGAUCCAAGUGCACUGCUCUUUUAAGCUUUGCAAGCAAACUCUCCUAAAACCUUACUCGCUGGCCCUGAUUUCAGAAUCUCCACUUAAUGCAUCAGGAACCCUCAGGGCUUAUCCUGGCCUUCAGUGCUGGUUUCACUUCUUCAGUAGCAGCUGCUCUGCACGGAUGCCCACACACAUUCCAUUCACCAUUGUUAUUAACUAUUUAUUCUGCGCCUCACAUUUGUCUGAACUUUGAACAUAUGCUUACAAAGCUGAUGGAAACUUCCCAAGCCCAUUUGAUUCUGCUGCUAUUUCCAGAGUGUGAACCAACUCGAUGGUAGUGAGGCCAAGUGCAGCGUGCCAUCUGAGAACGACUUCAGCCUUUGGGGUUGGACCUGAUUCAGAUGAGAAUGCCAUACCGUUGUUUAUUUUCUUGAGAUAAAGAAUAAAGAAAAAUACGAGAGCAAAGUCUGCUCUUGAAAACA